rnacentral:lncRNA from 1 species
GUCAGAGGGCAGCGAGGCCGGGCAGCGAGGGAGGCAGAGCCCCUCUGUUGGUGUGGGGUGGAGGCAGCCUUUUAUCCUGCGCCUCCGGUGCUGUGGCUGGGAAGGCAAGGUACUCAUGCCACCCUCCAAGGUGAAGAGAAGACCCACCUGCUUUUCUCUGCCAUCACCAGAUCCUCCCAGGCACUCUCCCCACAGUCGGUCCAGCCAGGCACACUCGGCCUGAUCUAGUGAUUCAAGCUGUCUUUCCAGGACUUGGCCUCUGCAGAGAUGGGGCUCUCUGUGUUGUCCAGGCUGGUCUCGAACGUGUGGGCUCAAGCCAUCUUCCUGCCUCCGCCUCCCAAACUGCUGGGAUUGCAGGUGUGAGCCACCACGCCCAGCCAUAAAUAAAUGUUUUCAAAAGCAUCAAGUAGUCCCUCUGAUUUUUAAAUGAUAAUGCUAGUUCUGAUGAGUUGACGACACUAAGCAGUGUGGACCUUUACUGGAGUCUCAGUAAUGUCAGCUUCCAGCUCUGAGGACGGAGCUGCAGACGUUAUGACGGCUGACCAGAAGCGUUUGUGUCGGGGACUAGGGAGGGCAGUGAUUUGGGCACCAUGAACACAGUGAGACACGGACGGGUGCAGGAAGAGGGCAGUAACAGAGUAACCCGGGAAUGCCGUCCCCACCUCCCAGGAAGGGAUCCAUUUCCCCAGAGGACAGAGGCCUGCUGCAUCUCGCCCAGCUAAUCUGACAGAAGCCAGCUGCAGCACUAGGCCUGCCCCCGGGAAGGCAUGCUGAGGCCGGG